GACUAGGCGCUGCGGUGUGACACUACAUAUCCCCGCCACGACCCUAGGCCGUUCGCGAAGGCGCUCCUAGACUGGCUGCACGCACUCCGUGCUUCAGCCUCCGGCCUGCGUCCCUCCACAGGCUCAGCCCUUUCCCUGCGGCCGUUCCCCGUUCCCGCCUCAGUCCGCUGGUAGGGCUGCUGUACGCCGGUGCCUCGAGGCGCCGGCAGGGGACGGGAACGCCUCCGUGUCGGCACCUCCCCCUUAAGCUGCCCGAAGCCUGCCUGCGCCCGCCUGCGCCCGCCUCCGAAGCGGCGCGCGACGCCCAGCGCCCCGAGGCGCGGGCCGGUGCUCACCCAGGCCUAGGCCCGGGCCGCUAGCAAGACCGAGCCCCACCGCAUUUUAUUUUAUUUCGUUCGUGGUUUUGCACAGACUGAAGUUUCGUGAGUUAGGUUAAACUCGGGACCUUCUCGAAGAGGACCCAUUUAUUUUUUUUUUCUUUCCAAAAUGGCAGCCUCCAGCCGCGCACAAGUGUUAGAUCUGUACCGGGCGAUGCUGAGAGAGAGCAAGUAUUUCAGCGCCUACAAUUACAGAACUUACGCUGUCAGGAGGAUAAGAGAUGCCUUCAGAGAAAAUAAGAAUGUAAAGGAUCCUGUAGAAAUUCAAGCCCUAGUGAAUAAAGCCAGAAGAGACCUUGGAAUAAUUCGUCGACAAAAUACAGCUGUCUCCAAGCCCAUGUGAGCCCGCUGGAGGAUGAGAUACAAUGAGGAAGAGAGCCAAGGUGCCCACUUGACAGCCAGCUCGCCCCCAGAAGCAGAGCCCCCUAGUCAACGAGCAGCUAACCACACACGCAUGAAGGAGCCCAGCAGAGACCAGACUGGUCCUGCGGAACCCAGCCUAAACUGCUGACCAGCUCAGUCAUGAGCUAGGUCAAGAGGAGUCACCUCCCCAAGGUCAAGAGGAACCCUGAGUGCUGCAUUUCCAAUGUGACAGCCUCUCAACACAUGUGAGUGCUCAGCACCUAGAACGUGGCUGGUCCAAGUUAUGAUGCGCUGAAAGUGCAAAAUAGAGUGAAUUUCAAAGAUCUAAUACAAAAAGUGUUGAGAUUUAAAACUACAGACGUGACUCACUUCCUGCUUCUACCGGACAUUGCUCUCUUCAAGGACCGCCUCCUUUUCAAAGCGCGGGCUGCCUCCUCAGAAGAGCAGAGGACAGGAAGAUUAGGAAAUCUGAAAUUUUGAAAGAACUUGGCAUUUUACUGGUUCCACUUGUGAAUAAGGGAUUUAAUAAGGCUUUAAAUUUAAGAUUUAAUAUUA